rnacentral:rRNA from 1 species
ACCAGCAGCCAUAUCACCCUGCAACUCACAACUGGCAACACCCUGAAGCUAAGGAGCCUGGCUAGUACCUGGAUGGGAGACCUCCUGGGAAAAACUAAGGUUGCUCCUGGAA